rnacentral:rRNA from 1 species
AGAGUUUGAUCCUGGCUCAGGAUGAACGCUGGCGGCGUGCCUAAUACAUGCAAGUCGAGCGAACAGAUAAGGAGCUUGCUCCUUUGAAGUUAGCGGCGGACGGGUGAGUAACACGUGGGUAACCUACCUAUAAGACUGGGAUAACUUCGGGAAACCGGAGCUAAUACCGGAUAACAUUUAGAACCGCAUGGUUCUAAAGUGAAAGAUGGUUUUGCUAUCACUUAUAGAUGGACCCGCGCCGUAUUAGCUAGUUGGUAAGGUAACGGCUUACCAAGGCGACGAUACGUAGCCGACCUGAGAGGGUGAUCGGCCACACUGGAACUGAGACACGGUCCAGACUCCUACGGGAGGCAGCAGUAGGGAAUCUUCCGCAAUGGGCGAAAGGCCUGACGGAGCAACGCCGCGUGAGUGAUGAAGGGUUUCGGCUCGUAAAACUCUGUUAUUAGGGAAGAACAAAUGUGUAAGUAACUGUGCACAUCUUGACGGUACCUAAUCAGAAAGCCACGGCUAACUACGUG